GAUGGUUUGUUUUGUGAACUACCCAGAAACCUUCAGCCACAUAUGAUGCUCUAUAAUGAAAUGUAAUAAUUAAGCCACUAAAUUAAACAUGUGAAAUAUCCUCUGUCUGAAGAACCAUCUAGUCAACAUCCUGAUGAAGAUAAAAGUUUUUUAAAAGGUAAAGUUGGUGAUGUGACAAUCAGUACUAGAGAUAUUCCUGGGAUUUGCUCAAUCCUGAAACCUUUGGAAAACUCUACUGCUUUCUGAAACAAAAGAAGCUUCCUUCUAAAAGCAACAGAACUGAAUCUGGAGCACAAAAUGGGAACCCUCUCUGGAAUGAAAAUAACCUUGACACAAAAGCAAGCCAGAACGGAUGGAAGCCGGAAGAUGGAAGGGUACAGACCACCAGACCACACUUUUAUCCUGUUAUCUGAUGCAAAUGAGGCAGCCUGGAAGGCUAUCAAAGCAAGGGAGGAAAGAUUUAUGUCUUUUACUGACCAUCUGCAAAGCAACUGCUACAACAACAACAAGCUGAAACACCGGUUUUCCGCUUUACCAGCUCUGUGAAUAACCAUAUAAAUUUCUAAAACGUUUUUAAGGCUCGCUGAAAGGGAAGAAUUCAUCCCCCAAGACUUGGGCAGCAGCCGUAGCAGCAUAUGGUCUGUUGGAAUCGCUAGCAGCAGUGUGUUUGUGUGUGUGUGUUAGCCUCUUAGGGGAAAAUGGAGAGGAAGACAGUAACUUUAUGAGUAAUUUAGGAAACAAGAGGGCUUUAAAAUGCUGUCAAAGGCAGUAACUCCCAGAAAAGGAAGAUGAUCUUCAUUUCAUUGCUGAAAAGUUUGAAUGGGGCCCGAUUCAUUGAUAGCGUUCAGUUUUCUAAGAGUGGAAAAAUGAAAGCUUUUGGGCCUUUGGAAACUGAGGUUAUUUGGCUCACAAUUUCAUCUCAAAUGCCAGAGAGAAUAUUAAAKUGCCCAGGGCACUGGAAAAAUGUGGAAAUGGGGAGCUGGGUUUUUCCAAUCAAUUCUACUAGGCCGGUUUGCUCAGAAGGGAUGUGCUGGCCCCAUACAUUCCUGGGAAGCCCCAGAAUUAAACUGAGGAAUGCAAAUGGAGAUAGUGGACCAUGAAAAGUGUAUUUCUUCUUCCUUUCCUUCCUGCCUUUCUUAAAGUUCCCUGUUUGCUCUGGCAAAYGAAACAUAUCAUGGCAARAUGAUGUUCAACAGAGUGCAUAGAGUUCUUCCUGACUAGCAUUGUAUUGUGGCCUUUACGAGGGAAGGAGAAGACACUCCUGACUGCAUAAUCAUUUAAAGAUUAUUUACAAUUGUUGGGGAAAGUUUCAUAAAAUCCACAAUGUAUGUUAAUGUGUAAUGUAAACAGAAUGGCUUGUGCACAUUCAACUGAACCUGAAAUCAUUAGGAACAUGUUCUAUAGUGAAGCAAACCUGUUUUUGUCACCAGGGCUUUACAUUAUUGAGGUAUUAUGGUCACUUUCAGACUUUUCUCCUAAGACCACGAUUUUCUUCAGAAAAGUCCCAUUGUUUAAAAAAAUGCUUGGUCAAUGCCAGCCCUUCCUUAAAUCAGAUAAAAAUGAAGAAUUGCCUUCUUAUAGAGGGGACUCUCUUACUUGCCCCAAAUGUGUAAAGUCAUACAAGAAAAUGAGGCCAUACUUCCCAGAUAUUCAGCAUUCAUUUCUAAAAGAGCAGAAUUAGGAAAAGUUACUUUUUGGACAAGACCAAUCCUCAGAAUGGCUAGAGGAAUUCUGAGAACAAUGUCCAAAAAGUAACUUUUUAAGGUGUGUAAGAAAGAAUGGCGGUCUGGGGGAGGAGGGUCCAAUAUAUGUCAUUCCUUCACAUUUCUCUGCAUUUUAGACCAACCUUUCCUAGAAAAAAAUAUUAUCAGGAAUGUAAGGAUCACAGUCUUUUUUCUAGCAACCUCUUUCUGAAAAGCAAAGAAAGCAUGAUUCAUCUGGCCCUGAAAUUAAAAUUGCGCCUGGAAUCCACAAGCAGGUUACUUUGGGAUAUCACAUUUUCACU